AGUAACGCGUGAGUAACCUGCCUUGGAGUGGGGAAUAACACAGUGAAAACUGUGCUAAUACCGCAUAAUGCAUUUGGGUCGCAUGAUUCUGAAUGCCAAAGAUUUAUCGCUCUGAGAUGGACUCGCGUCUGAUUAGCUAGUUGGCGGGGUAACGGCCCACCAAGGCGACGAUCAGUAGGGGUUCUGAGAGGAAGGUCCCCCACAUUGGAACUGAGACACGGUCCAA
rnacentral:rRNA from 1 species